rnacentral:rRNA from 1 species
AUUGAACGCUGGCGGAAUGCUUUACACAUGCAAGUCGAACGGUAGAGGGGGCAACCCCUCGAGAGUGGCGAACGGGUGAGUAAUAUAACGGAACGUGCCCAGUCGUGGGGGAUAACGUAGCGAAAGUUACGCUAAUACCGCAUACGAUCUACGGAUGAAAGCGGGGGAUCGCAAGACCUCGCGCGAUUGGAGCGGCCGAUAUCAGAUUAGGUAGUUGGUGGGGUAAAGGCUCACCAAGCCAACGAUCUGUAGCUGGUCUGAGAGGACGACCAGCCACACUGGAACUGAGACACGGUCCAGACUCCUACGGGGGGCAGCAGUGGGGAAUUUUGGACAAUGGACGCAAGUCUGAUCCAGCCAUUCCGCGUGCAGGAUGAAGGCCCUCGGGUUGUAAACUGCUUUUGUACGGAACGAAAAGGUUUCCAUUAAUACUGGGAGCUCAUGACGGUACCGUAAGAAUAAGCACCGGCUAACUACGUGCCAGCCGCCGCGGUAA